AGUGAACGCUGGCGGUAGGCCUAACACAUGCAAGUCGAACGGCAGCACAGAGGAGCUUGCUCCUUGGGUGGCGAGUGGCGGACGGGUGAGGAAUACAUCGGAAUCUACUCUGUCGUGGGGGAUAACGUAGGGAAGCUUACGCUAAUACCGCAUACGACCUACGGGUGAAAGCAGGGGAUCUUCGGACCUUGCGCGAUUGAAUGAGCCGAUGUCGGAUUAGCUAGUUGGCGGGGUAAAGGCCCACCAAGGCGACGAUCCGUAGCUGGUCUGAGAGGAUGAGCAGCCACACUGGAACUGAGACACGGUCCAGACUCCUACGGGAGGCAGCAGUGGGGAAUAUUGGACAAUGGGCGCAAGCCUGAUCCAGCCAUACCGCGUGGGUGAAGAAGGCCUUCGGGUUGUAAAGCCCUUUUGUUGGGAAAGAAAUCCAUCUGGUUAAUACCCGGGUGGGAUGACGGUACCCAAAGAAUAAGCACCGGCUAACUUCGUGCCAGCAGCCGCUGUAA
rnacentral:rRNA from 1 species